rnacentral:lncRNA from 1 species
UAUACUCAAAGAAAAAGGAAAGACAAGGAUCCUAAUCAACCAAUUAGAAGAAAACAAAGGACCACUCGAGGCAAUAGUCAAGCUAGCCAAAAAUGAAAAUUAUGCAGAAGAGUACUGAUUGUUGGUUUAUCUCUAGUAAUGUAGGUGUGGGCUAAUUCUUUUGCAAGGCUGUCACAUGUCCUCUGUUUUUCCUCAAAUAUUCUUCGGUUUCUUUCAAUCCAGAGAGAGUGUACACAUUUAACAAAGACAAGUUUGAAGAUUAUAUUCUUGCUUCUUGAGAUUUUCCUUUAGCAUUCUUUACGACCCACGUUGUAUAGUCCUCCCAUGUACUUAUAGUGAUUGCAUCUUUAUGUAUCUAGCGAAGCACCCGAGUCCAGAGGGUCUUGCAAAAGGGCAAGAAAGGAAAAGAUGAUCCUUAGUUUCAUCUUGCAUUAGACAUAGAACAUAAGUAGGAGAAAUUUUGAGACUCCAUUUAAGAAGUCUGUCCAUAGUUAGUAAUAUCCCAUGAAAAUGAAGCCACAUAGUAAAUUUUGCCUUGAUCGUGCAUCAUACUCAAACAUCAAGCAUUUCCAAGGCGUAGAUGGUUCAACAGGAAGGAGAGCAUGGUAGAAAUGUUUGAUGAGGUUAUGAGAGAAAGUUGAAACCUGACAAACUAAAGCAACAAUGUCUCUAGCAGAUAUGAUUUGUUUGAUCAUCCAAGAUGCCUUAGGAACCUCAUUGAAAAGUCUGUCUUUUAUAUAGCAUGUAUGAACCCAUCUCACCCAUUUGUCCGCUUUAUUGUCUACAUCUUGCAAUAACAAUUUUGUUCCAGAAUCUCUAGUUAAUCAGAUUUAGUCCUCCUGUGGCAAUAGGUGAGCAAACCUUAUCCCAUGCUACUAAUGCCUUUUUAGUGAUUGUGUUUGCCCCAUACCACAUAUAACUCUGACAAUACGCAUCAAUCACUUUGACAACUUUAGUAGGAAUUGUAAAGAGUUGAGCCCAAUAGGCCUGCAUGCCAAACAACACGGAUUGAAUCAUUUGUUCUCGCUUAUUAUUCUAUUAUUUUCUAUUUGGACCCUUGUAAUUGAAUGAGACACAGUAGUAAUUUAUUUUUUUAAUAAAUCUCACCUUGUUUCUUUUUAUUUAUUUCUUAUAUUGAAAUUAAUUACUUUUUACUUAUUAAUUUUAGUAAAGCACGAAAGAUUUUUACAUUUUUUUAUACUUCCUCCGUCUCAUUUUACUCGUCUCAAUUUGGCAUUGCAUAUUGAUUAAGAAAAAUAAUUAAUAACAUACCUACUUUACCAUCGCAUCCCUAUUAAAUUAUGUUUACAUUUUAAUUUGGAGAAAAAAAUAAUUAAUACUAAGGGUAAAAAAGAAAAGAAAAAGUUGUCUUGUCUUGAUUAAUGAAAAAUGACAAGUAAAAUAAAAAAUUAAAUUAAGAAAUCUUAGACGAGUAAAAUGGGAUGAAGGAAGUAUCAUUUUUAUUAUUAAGUAACUGUAUAUGUCACACCCCUUUUUAACUCCAAGAAAAAUUAUUUUUAUGGGUUUCGAAAGGAUUUUAUUUAUUAAAGUGACAAAAAUGAGGAUUUAUUUCGAAAAAGAAUUAUUUAUAUUUUUUAUUCAGAGUCGUCACUUGACAUAAUCCGGUGUGCCAAGUCACCUUUGGAGAAUCCUUUUCGAAAUGAUUUGACUCUUUACAAAACUGGUUUGCGACAAAGAUUCCGGCUAAGAAAUUCUGUUGACCGAGGGGAAGGUGUUAGGCAUCCCUCGAUCCCAUGGUUCGCCCACGGUCGCUUGGUGGAGCAUAUCAGCUAAUUUGACAUUACAAAUGCAUAAUCCACACAAAAACACAUAAACAAUCAAUCAAACACGAAACAAAACAAAUCCAAAAUAUAGUGUUCAGUCCAAUUAUACAGUUCAAAAUAAAAAAUGCGAAAAAAUAAAUCCUAUUCUAACCUACACUAAUCCUAAACUAUGCUCCAGUGCUUUACCUGAUGCCUCGAUCCUUCGUCACGGGCGUCUUCCGAGUACAAAAUACCGCGGGGCAUUUCCCGGCGAAUAAACACAAAUAUCUCAGGGCAUUUUCCGCCAAAUAAUACAUUUGAUCCAAAAGCAAUAAAACCAAGCCAUUCAACACAUGUUUCGAGCAUUCAACAUUCCACAAUUCCUAAAACUUGCCAACCCGAACCUACUAUUUGCCUACCCAACUCGAUCUAUCAUGGCACUAUCACGAUCGACGACGUCAAUGAAUCAAAACAACAAAAAAAUUAAAAUUAAUCCUAAUUAAGAUUAGCAAUUUUUCAAUUCCGCUCCAAAUUCAUUCUCAACCAAUGAUUAACACAUGCAUCGAUUAUCAAUUCAUUUUUCAACAUUCAAAUCCAACAUCAACCAAUACACAAUCAAGAUUCAAACAUACCAACACAUAAAUCAUUCACGAUUACGUAAAAAUUAAAAAAAGAGGAGAUAGAAUUGGACCUCAGUGCUUUCAAAAAUCGAUGUAUUAUUUCGAUUAACCUGGUAGAAUCCGCAUCCAAAAUCCUCGAACAAAACCCUCCAUCACGAUCAAGAAUCCAACUCGGUAUCAAGAAAGUGAACCCAAAACUGAUUACGGUGAAUUGAUUGGGACGAAACAGAAUCUAAAUCCAAAAAUCAGUUCAAAGACAGAUGAGCCAAGACCAAAAUUGCAACAGAGUAAAUCGAACCCGUCAAAAUUCUCAGCAAACAAACUCACAACUUGAACAAAAAACCCCCAAAAACCCGAACUUACCCAAACAAUCCCACUGAACCUUUUCGAUUUUUAUCUUUUUCCGAUGAAAGUUGACCAGAAUAAAAUGAAACGACUCAAAGUUUUAUGGAUUAGACGGCUGACUUACUUUUCGACGAGAUUCAGAUGGAAAAUCGGGAUCGGUAUUAACUUCUUGAUGCGAGCAUGGUUGGAACGAGAUUAGCGGAGCUUUCUCGGUGGCAAUUCUAGUGAGUCACCAGCGAGAGCUUUGUCGGAAAGCAGUCCAAUUGCCUCUCUGUCUCUCUCUCAAUCUCUCUGGUUUGCUUAAAUCUCUCUUACCUUCAACGAUUUCUCACAGUUUCUCUUUUAACUCUCUAUGCCUCUCUCCAUCUCUUACUCUCACUCUCCUCUCUUCCUCUUACUGUGUGUAUUUUUUGAGUUUUCAGUGAGCUGGUGAAAAUGCUAUGCCAGUGGAAUUGGGGAUUUUGUGGUGAUCAGUGAAUAAGAAAAGGAAAAAAAUGGCGCGGUGUGUUCUAUGUUGAGAAAAAAAAGAAUCCAGUGGUGUGUAUAUUCUGUGUAUAUGGAUUGGUCAAGAAGAAAAGAAAAUCCCCUGUACCUGUGUGUUUUUGGAAAAAUGGAUAAGAAGUCCAAAGAGAAAGGAAAAAAAGGCCUCCCCUAAUCUAUUCCAGUGAAUGGAAAUUAUAUUGAUGGAAUGUGGGGUCCAUGAGUGAGGUGUCUAUUUUGAUUGGGUAAGUUAUUAGGAUGAGGUGUAAAGUUGGUUAGGAUAGAAUUAAAACAAGAUAAAAUUUGUUAAGGAUUAUGUUAAGGGUUGUUAUUAUUUUUUUGUAGGGUAUAAUUAUAUGGAUGAGGGUGUACAAUAAAGUGAGGUAAAAAUGAAUAAAAUUAGACUUGGGAGGGAUAAAAUUAGGUAUCUACGACAUGCCCCCUUUGAAUGUAAACAUGAAGUGUUUUCAAACAAAGAAGUAGACAACGAGAUAAAAUUUUGUCCCAACUAUUAUUCAAAAAGAAUGAAAUAGAAAGAAGGAGGAAAACCAAGUCUUGACUUUGGAAAUCAUACUUAUCCCUAGUUAUGGGGGAAUCAAGUCACAGGUAUCCCAAGGACUGAAAGAAGAGGGACUAUACCGAGUUGGAGAGUCGAGCGAGGUUCUGUCGAGGUUCCGAUCUGCGGCUCUGUCAUUACAUCAAAACAAAAAUUACAAGUUAAAACAUAAAUGAAAUUACAAAAGUCCUCUCUAUGC